GACGAACCGUGCGAACGUUAUUCGGAAUCACUGGGCUUAAAGAGCUUGUAGGCGGUUUGUCGCGUCUGCUGUGAAAAUCCGGGACUCAACCCCCGGACCUGCAGUGGGGUACGGGCAGACUAGAGUGUGGUAGGGGGAGACUGGAAUUCCUGGUGUAGCGGUGAAAUGCGCAGAUAUCAGGAGGAACACCGGUGGCGAAGGCGGGUCUCUGGGCCGAUACUGACGCUGAGGAGCGAAAAGCGUGGGGGAGCGAACAGG
rnacentral:rRNA from 1 species